rnacentral:rRNA from 1 species
GACGAACGCUGGCGGCGUGCUUAACACAUGCAAGUCGAGCGGAAAGGCCCUUUCGGGGGUACUCGAGUGGCGAACGGGUGAGUAACACGUGAGUAAUCUGCCCUUGGCUUUGGGAUAACCACCGGAAACGGUGGCUAAUACCGGAUACGACCACUCCCGGCAUCGGGUGGUGGUGGAAAGUUUUUUCGGCCAGGGAUGUGCUCGCGGCCUAUCAGCUUGUUGGUGGGGUAAUGGCCUACCAAGGCUUCGACGGGUAGCCGGCCUGAGAGGGUGACCGGCCACACUGGGACUGAGACACGGCCCAGACUCCUACGGGAGGCAGCAGUGGGGAAUAUUAGACAAUGGGCGGAAGCCUGAUCCAGCAACGCCGCGUGAGGGAUGACGGCCUUCGGGUUGUAAACCUCUUUCAGUACCGACGAAGCGCCGAUGAUGGCGGUGACGGUAGGUACAGAAGAAGCACCGGCCAACUACGUGCCAGCCGCCGCGGUAA